UUAGAUUGUCAAUUCUUCAAUCUUUACUCAAGAUGGUGGUGUCAAACCUUAUGUUUUUGGUGUUCUCGUGUCACCAAUUGGUGUUCAAUGGGUUUGCAUCUCCAGUUGGGCAUUUUUUAUACCAGACAGAUAGUGCGCAAGUACGCUUGGAGAAGAAAGAUGGCCCCUUGUCCCCUCUCUGUGCAAACCAAAUUCCAAACCAGCCAGUGGUAGCAAAGUGUAGCUUGGCUGUUCUGCUGUCUUUGAAGAAUGAAUCUGGUCUAAUUAUCCAAAAGGGUAAUCUUUUGUAUUGACACUGGACCAUGAGGAAAGCUAAUUGCAGCUUAUCUGACAUGUUUUGCACCAAUUUUCUUUAGGCAUUGAUGUGAAGAAUUUGCCCUCUGCCUGCAAAGUCCAGCCCCCAGCCCACCAAUGAGUCCAGCUUUCUGCCUGCUGAGUCCAGCCUCCACCAAGUUGCAGAGUCAGCCACUCUCCCCUUUGAGGAGUCAGGCACUUUGCCCACUGAGGUUAAUGGGAAACUGACUGAGUCCAGCCCCCAGCCUGCUAAGGAGUCUAGCACUAUCUCAGCUGGGGAGUCCAGCCCUCAUCCUGUUGCAGAGUCCAGCCCCCAGCCUGCCAAGGAGUCCAGUGCUAUCUCAGCUGGGGAGUCCAGCCCCCAGCCAGUUGCAGAAUCCAGUGCUCUCCAAGCUGAGUCCAGUGCUCUCCCAGCUGAGGUUGAUGGGAAGCUCACUGAGUCCACCCCUUUGCCUUCCAAGGAGUCCAGCCCCUUCCCAGUUGCAGAGUCCAGUGCUCUCCCAGCGGAGUCCAGUCCUCUGCUCACUGAGGAGUCCAGCUCUCACCCUGUUGCAGAGUCCAGCCCCCAGCCUGCCAAGGAGUCCAGCGCUAUCCCAGUUGGGGAAUCUAGCCCUCUGCCUGCUGAGUCCAACCCCCACCCAGUUGGAGAGCCCAGCACUCUCCCCAUCAAGGAGUCAGGCACUUUGUCCGCUGAGGUUGAUGGGAAGCUCACGGAGUCCAGCUCUCACCCUGUUGAGGAGUCCAGCGCUAUCCCAGUUGGGGAAUCUAGCCCUCUGCCUGCUGAGUCCAACCCCCACCCAGUUGCAGAGCCCAGCACUCUCCCCAUCAAGGAGUCAGGCACUUUGCCCACUGAGGUUGAUGGGAAGCUCACGGAGUCCAGCACCCAACCAGUUGCAGAAUCCAGUGCUCUCCCAGCUGAGUCCAGUGCUCUCCCUCACUGAGUCCACCCCUCUGCCUUCCAAGGAGUCCAGCCCCCUCCCAGUUGCUGAGUCCAGUGCUCUCCCAGCUGAGUCCAGUGUUCUCCGAGCUGAGUCCAGCCCCCAGCCAGUUGCUGAGUCCAGUGCUCUCCCAGCUGAGUCCAGCCCCCAGCCAGUUGCAGAAUCCAGUGCUCUCCGAGCGGAGUCCAGUGCUCUCCCAGCUGAGGUUGAUGGGAAGC
ensembl:lncRNA